rnacentral:rRNA from 1 species
UACGGAGGAUGCAAGCGUUAUCCGGAAUGAUUGGGCGUAAAGCGUCCGCAGGUGGCUGUGUAAGUCUGCUGUUAAAGAGUCUAGCUCAACUAGAUACAAGCAGUGGAAACUACACGGCUAGAGUACGUUCGGGGCAGAGGGAAUUCCUGGUGUAGCGGUGAAAUGCGUAGAGAUCAGGAGGAAUACCGGUGGCGAAGGCGGCAUCCUGGACCGAGAUUGACACUGAUGAGCGAAAGCUAGGGGAGCAAACGGG